rnacentral:lncRNA from 1 species
ACCCGGAGCCUCUUGGGAGUGUGAGCCCCUCCUGCAGCCCUGCCUGCUGGGCCUGGUCUAGGAGGAGCUGACCCCAAGGAGGGGCUCGUGAGGAAUUCUUUAGAAAAUUGAAGAAUGGAGUGAGUUUGAGGAUCUGCGGGCUGCGUGCUCGUCCCCUGCCCCUCGCUCCCUCAGAGCCUGUGGAUGACCCCGGAUGAAGGAGGGCCCGCCGGCCGCCCAAACCUGGGCAGCUCAAGAGCUCCAAACUGGUCCUCCCGUUCCCUUUUCACCUGCACAUUGCCCUUCCCCACAGCCCAGAAAGCAGCUGCACUGGAGAUGCAUCUCCACUUCAAACCUGUGUGGGUGGCUUGCAUUGUAACGCAGCAGACAGCGAGACUACAGAUCCCAGAUCACCCAUAUUGAAAUCAGCCUGUAAAUGCCCCCACCCUGGCUUGUGCCUCGUGCCUCAGCACUCUGAGCACCUGCAUGCCACUCUGCAGUGUGUCCUGUAUCUCCCUCUAAUAAAUCCUUCUCCUGCCUCUGUCACUGACAGGUCCUGAAAGCUCUUUUUCCGUGAUGGGAGUCAGAGAACCUGCAUACUUAUUUUAAAGUUGUGGGUGAAGGUCCUUUCAGCCUCGGGGACCCUCAGACCCAGCCUGUGACACCAGCACGCAAAGGAGGCACUCACUGUCGGGAACCCACGCUGAUGUGUACCAGCCCGAGAGUGGGUGCUUCCUUGAAGGAAUCAGCGGGCACCUCAUGGGUCUCACCCUAGCCCAGGACACUGCUGCACACAGGUGCCAGACAGGGGGCAGCUCAGGUGACCCAGCUGGAUUAGGGCUGUGGCCUAAGUUGGCAAAUAUUUGGAGUUAUCUUGGCCAUCCCCAAAUCAGAACACAAGAUUUGAGGAUGGCCAGGAUGUGGG